CCUGCCGGCGACCGGCGCACGGGUGAGUAACACGUAUGCGACCUGCCCCCCGCAGGGGGAUAACCGGGAGAAAUCCCGACUAAGUACCGCGUAACGCCGCGGACCUGCAUGGGUCUGCGGCCAAAGGAAGCGAUUCCGGCGGGGGAUGGGCAUGCGGCGCAUUAGCUAGUCGGCGGGGUAACGGCCCACCGAGGCGACGAUGCGUAGGGGUUCUGAGAGGAAGGUCCCCCACACUGGUACUGAGACACGGACCAGACUCCUACGGGAGGCAGCAG
rnacentral:rRNA from 1 species